UCAGCAGGGAGCAGACUCCCAAGAGCUGCCAGAUCUCAGGAUCCCAGAGGCUGUUUGUGAAGACAUCACCUUCCUAGCAGCAGGAUCAGGCCAGUGAUGAGCUCCCAAAAUCCUAAGAACCAGUUCCCUACUGGGUCCUCGGCGGCACUUUGGCGGCGACGGGGUCUUCACUUCACUUCAUCAGCCCUGAGAGUACUGAAGAGAGGCAAAAUAAUGGUUGAGAAAAGCACUCUUUAUUGAUGGAUCAAAGGAAAUGGAAGAAAUGAUGGUGGCAACCCAGUAAACCCUACAGCCUUGAAGUCAUUUGAUAACAAAGAAUAAACUGGUUCUAUAGCAAAAAUAAAAAGAACUGGAAUUUUAAAAUAAAAAUGGUGAAUUACAAAAUCAUAAUAAA